UCCUGGGAAGGGCUGCAGCUCAGUGGCAGAGUGCCUGCUUUGCUUGCAGAAGGACCCCAGUUCAAUUCCCAGUGGCAACCCCAGGAA